rnacentral:lncRNA from 1 species
UACCCUAUGUACACUAUGCACAAUGAACGAAUCUUGAUGGUUGUUUAUAGAAAAAGAAAGUUUGAAAAGUUCAUGCACUUCAGAAAAGAGCACACGAGUAGAUAAACUAUGUGUGUUAUAAUAGUAUAGAUAAAUGAGCCUUGUGAGAGCAGCAGUGUUUUUUUAUUUUGUUAUCUUAGGUGGAUGCUGCAUAACGUUGCUGAAGUGAUUGCUCCAAGGCAUGCCAGCAUCGUGUUCUCGUGGAAAUCCAAAGUAGAAAUAUUAAAUUACAAUAGAAAAAUUGAAUGGUCGUUUCUGGGAUAUUGAAAUUUGAAAUAAGUGUGUAUAUAUGGGCGUGAGAUGCUUUAAUUUUGGUAGCUGAAGCAAUCUUGUCCUUUGUUAAUGACAGCUCCAAGACCUAAUUGCAGGGACAAAGUUUGGUUGCAGUUGCUUCUUAUAUGUGGGCUUGGAAACAUAAAUGUAGAUGUGACAUCAAAUGUCAAGUGUGUCCAAACUCAUGUAAUAUUUUAUAUGUUUUUAUUUUCUGUGUGAAUUUCAUCAUUAGAAAAGAGCAGUUGCAACUUUUCCCCUGAAGUUUCCAGCAACACUAAUUUCUAGAAACAAUGUGAAGUUUGCUUUGAUUUUCUGAUGCCAUUUGGUGUGUUGUUACUUUUUUUCCUGUUUCUUCAAAUUGAGGUUGCAUUUACAUGCCAACCAACUUUGAAGAUGGUGUGCAGAGUUUUCAAAGUUGUGAACUGCUUGUGAGAAAAGAUGUAUCAUUGUGAUGUGUUGAAAAGAUGAUGAGGUAGGUCAGGUGAAUGGAUUUUUCAUGUGUUUGAAUAUAGGGUGGACUUAGUCUUUCUACUCACUUCUUUCACUCUCUUUAGUUAGUCUUUUUUUCCCUUCUUAUCUAAUCAAAGAUUCAACUAAAGAGAGAAACUAUUUUGAGAUCAUUUUAAUUAUUUCAAUUCUUUUGUACAUAAAAAUUGUUCAUAGUUAAAGGAUUUGGG